rnacentral:rRNA from 1 species
CAUGCAAGUCGAGCGAGAAGCUAACUUCGGUUGGUGGACAGCGGCGCACGGGUGAGUAACGCGUGGGAAUUUACCUUUCGGCGGGGGACAACAGUUGGAAACGACUGCUAAUACCGCAUACGCCCUACGGGGGAAAGAUUUAUCACCGAAAGAUAGGCCCGCGUUAGAUUAGGUAGUUGGUAGGGUCAAAGCCUACCAAGCCGACGAUCUAUAGCUGGUUUGAGAGAACGAUCAGCCACACUGGAACUGAGACACGGUCCAGACUCCUACGGGAGGCAGCAGUGGGGAAUCUUGCACAAUGGGCGAAAGCCUGAUGCAGCCAUGCCGCGUGAGUGAGAAGGCCUUCGGGUUGUAAAACUCUUUUAGAUGUGAAGAUGAUGACGGUAACAUCAGAAAAAGCACCGGCUAACUUCGUGCCAGCAGCCGCGGUAAUACGAAGGGUGCUAGCGUUGUUCGGAAUUACUGGGCGUAAAGAGCGUGUAGGCGGGUUAGCAAGUUAGAGGUGAAAUCCCAGGGCUCAACCCUGGAACUGCCUUUGAUACUGCUAAGCUUGAGAUCGUGAGGGGAUAGCGGAAUACCCAGCGUAGAGGUGAAAUUCGU